rnacentral:rRNA from 1 species
GGAUGACGGCCUUAUGGGUUGUAAACUGCUUUUGUAAGGGAAGAAUAAGAGCUACGAGUAGUUUGAUGACGGUACCUUACGAAUAAGCAUCGGCUAACUCCGUGCCAGCAGCCGCGGUAAUACGGAGGAUGCGAGCGUUAUCCGGAAUCAUUGGGUUUAAAGGGUCCGUAGGCGGGCUAAUAAGUCAGGGGUGAAAUCGUUCAGCUCAACUGAGCAACUGCCUUUGAAACUGUUAGUCUUGAAUAGUUGUGAAGUAGUUGGAAUGUGUAGUGUAGCGGUGAAAUGCUUAGAGAUUACACAGAACACCGAUAGCGAAGGCAUAUUACUAACAAUUGAUUGACGCUGAUGGACGAAAGCGUGGGGAGCGAACAGGAUUAGAUACCCUGGUAGUCCACGCUGUAAACGAUGGAUACUAGCUGUUUGGACGCGAGUUUGAGUGGCUAAGCGAAAGUGAUAAGUAUCCCACCUGGGGAGUACGUUCGCAAGAAUGAAACUCAAAGGAAUUGACGGGGGCCCGCACAAG